UGCUUAUUUUGUGCCAGAGAAUUGGAAUUUUUAUGUUAAAACAUAUAUUCUCACUUUAUAAUCCCAAAUCUGGCAACGGUUUUCUUAAUUGGUAUGCUUGCUUCUGGGAUUAUUGAAAAGGCGGCUCAUGUUAAGAUGAGGCAAAGUUGAAUCCAAUUUCAGAGCUCAAUUUUUCAGUUCCUACCUAAAAGAACCUUCAGAAUUCAGAAGCAUUGCAGAAUCAUGGUCCCUACUUAUAUUUGGGCAAUUUUCUAGGAUUUGGCAUUGACUAAAAAUAUGGUAACUAAAGACUUAGUUCCCUGUGGACAUGUGAAAUAUGUUGUAAAAUCACUUUUCCAAUGUCAAAACUGGCACUUGAAGGAGCAUUUUAUUAUAGAUCACAAUUGUAUGUUCCACCUGAUUUAAUGUGCAUAGUGGCCUGUUUAGUAUUAAAUAAAUUUUAUUUCUAUUUCAACCCAGGUGAUUCUCAUCUAAAUGUUCAAGUUAGCAACUUUAAGUCUGGAAAAGGAGAUUCUACACUUCAGGGUGAGAGAAAUUACAUGACACUUAAACUGAAGGCCCAUCAAAAUAGAAACUUGGAUACAUGUCUCUUUCCUUACAUGAAUGAUGUUAAAGGAAAGAAGGGGGAUUAAAGUUAUUUUU
rnacentral:lncRNA from 1 species